CGAGAUAAAUGGCAAACGGGGUGUAAGCCCCGGACGCAAAGCUGCAGGCCCUAACCGGAAGUCCAGGAGGGUGGCUGGGUUGCCUCG
rnacentral:ncRNA from 1 species